GGAGGUAUGGCUCAGUGGUAGAGCACCAGCCUAGCAAGCACAGUGCCCUGAGUUCAAACCCAAGUACCUCCC
rnacentral:tRNA from 1 species